rnacentral:ncRNA from 1 species
CAAGAGUUUGGUCCUGGCUUUACUAUCACUUCCAACUAUAUUUAUACAUGCAAGUCUCCGCAAUCCCGUGAGGAUGCCCUAUAUCAACCUACCAAGGAAGUAUAGGAGCUGGUAUCAGGCUCAUCUAAAUACUCACGCCCACGACACCUUGCUUAGCCACACCCCCAAGGGUAUUCAGCAGUAACAAACUUUGAGCCAUAAGUGCAAACUUGACUCAGUUAAAGUUAAGAGGGUCGGUUAAUCUCGUGCCAGCCGCCGCGGUUAUACGGGGGACCCAAGGUGAUGGUCAUCGGCGUAAAGCGUGGUUAGAAUAUUCUCACUUAAACUAAAGCCGAAAGCCUUCACAGCCGUUGCACGCAUACGAAAGUAAGAAGCCCAAUCACGAAAGUAGCUUUAUAAAUUUUUGACUCCACGAAAACUGGGGCACAAACUGGGAUUAGAGACCCCACUAUGCCCAGCCUUCAAAAUUAACGGUUUAUUUACAUUUUCCCGUUCGCCUGGUUACUACGAGCUCAGCAGUGUCGAGGCUUAAAACCCAAAGGACUUGGCGGUGCUUCAGAACCCCCUAGAGGAGCCUGUCCUAUAACCGAUACUCCCCGUUAAACCUCACCCUUUCUUGUUCAUUCCAGCCUAUAUACCGCCGUCGCCAGCUCACCCCUUGAGGGUAAUAACAUGUGAGCUCAACCGGUUAACCCCCCAAUAAGUCAGGUCGAGGUGUAGCGUAAGAGAGGGGAAGAGAUGGGCUACAUUCUCUACUUUAGUGAAUACAGAGGACGAACCCUGAAACAAGAUGUCCAAAGGUGGAUUUAGCAGUAAGAGGGGAAUAGAGUGCCCCCCUGAAGCCGGCAAUGGAGCGUGCACACACCGCCCGUCACUCUCUCCAAGCACCUUCGUCCAUAAAUUUUUAUAAACCAUUAGAUUAGCACAGGAGAGGCAAGUCGUAACAUGGUAAGCGUACUAGAAAGUGCGCUUGGCUAAAUU